GGGGAUUUAGCUCAGUGGUAGAGCGCUUGCCUAGGGAGCGAGCGUAAGGCCCUGGGUUCGGUCCCCAGCUCCG
rnacentral:tRNA from 1 species